UCAGCUCCCAUCCUCCCUCUUUCCUCCUCCCCUCGCUCCCAUCCUUCCAGGCUCAUUGGUCAUUUCUAAUCUUAUAUUAACCCCUCUGCUAGUUAGGGGCUGUUUGCUUUCUGUCUCUCUCCUCACUGCCCCAGGAACACUUCUGCUAUACAGGAGGAAUUAUUGCAACUGUUGAGAUUCUUCAUCCUGUUUUUCCAGCCAGCUCCUCCCUGGAAACCACGUCUGCUUGGAAUAGAGAACUGAUGGAGCUCUCUGCUAAACCUUGCCUGAUCUAGUGGAGGUGGUUAAGUAUUAAGUAUUUGGGUUCCAACAAGCUUCUCUGCAUGAGACAACCUGAAUAACUGGGCUGUCUACAAAACUCUAAUUAUGUCCAUUAAUUUUCUAACCAACUAGGAGGAGAUGAGAAUGCUCCUCCUACAGUCCAGGUCCCAGUGGCCCAACUUCCUCGUCUGCUGACUCCCUGGGUUCCUCAUGGGAGCCUAACCGGAGCACCUUCAUAUGUGGCAGUUCCCAGCCAGAGAGCUGUGCACCUUGCACCCAGCAGUCCUUGUCUGUAAAUAAUCUACCACCCACAUUUCUGUUCUACUUUUCAAACCCACUUCUAUGCUAUU